UACGUAGGGUGCGAGCGUUAAUCGGAAUUACUGGGCGUAAAGCGUGCGCAGGCGGUUCGUUGUGUCGGUGGUGAAAUCCCCGGGCUCAACCUGGGAACUGCAUUUGUGACUGCAUCGCUGGAGUGCGGCAGAGGGGGAUGGAAUUCCGGCGUGUAGCAGUGAAAUGCGUAGAUAUCGUAAGGAAGACCAGUGGCGAAGGCGGGGUCUCUGGACAGUUCCUGACGCUGAGGCACGAAGGUCAGGGGGAGCAAAACGGGG
rnacentral:rRNA from 1 species